rnacentral:rRNA from 1 species
AGAGUUUGAUCCUGGCUCAGGACAAACGCUGGCGGCGUGCAUUAAGCAUGUAAGUCGAACGGCGGGGGCAACCCCGCAGUGGCAGACGGCUGAGGAAGACGGCCGUAACCUACCCCUCGGAGGGGGAUAACCCCGCGAAAGCGGGGCUAAGACCGCGUACGCUCGCCUGGGGGAGAGCCAGGCGAGGAAAACGGUGACGU